UUACUUUCAAAAAUUGGGCUUUAAGGACAUUUUGCCGCCUUUUUAGGGACAUUUUCUGAUGAUAUGUCACCCUUUACAUUUUUUAUAUGCUGGUAACAAUAACAUAAUGAAUUCGUAGCACUCAGUGCAACACAUUACUUCUGUGACUCGAGCAACGAGAACAAUUAUUUAUCUAUCUGCUGCAAAGUGUUGUGUCGCUUUUAAGAAAUAAGGUUCCAGGCUGGGACUAGAAUGCACCAGUCAAUGAAUGAUGUGGGAUUUAGGAAGACCAAAAGGAAAAUUCACUCGGCUCAUACAGUCUCCUAUUUAAAGAUUUUUUUAUUGGUUAUAAUACAAUAACAUGGCACAAGAUAUUCUCCCAGAUGUUCCUGUAAUGUUACAGUUUGAGAACUUAAGUUUUUAUUACAGUGUGUAGAAAUGUGUGUAGACAUGCCAAACAAAUUGAAUGUGCUAGAGAAAAUAAAUAAGGUAGAGGGUAAGAGGGGAGGGCGCUCAGUUUUUCCAUCACCCUGAACCUCUUGCGUCAUCUUUCCAGUUGCUGUGGCCAUUCGAGGAGGUGGUGGUGAACCGGCCCUUGGCUCAACAGGUGCCAUAUCCUGCCUUGGCACAACAAGUCCAUUAUCCCCCUGUGGCACUGCCAAUGCAGUACCCGCCCCUGGCACCGCAGACUCCAUAUCCCGCCAUUGGGCAGUCCGCCCCAAACCCCCUCCUGCCAGAAAGAGGAUUGUUGGACCUCGGGAGAACGCUGAUCUGCAGGGAACCUGUGCCGGAGGGUGGCCGGAGCCUCAGGCCUUAUGGCCCUAUCCAGGAAUUCCGGAGACCCCUCACGAACGCGGAACGGAUGCGGAACCGCAGGAUGCGGAACCGGAAGCAGCGCCUGGAGACCAGCAUGCAGCUGGUUGAGUCGGCGUCAAGGGCGCCUUCGCUGCUCUUGGAUGCCAUGCGGGGCCUUCAUCGCCAGGACUUGAAGGCCUUUGACCGGGCCAGGCAAGAGGAGAGGCAACACCGGAAGCAGGAGCGCCGGCAGGACCGGGCCACAGCCCAGCUGAUGGUUGACGCCAUCGAACGCUCCCACACGGACCUGGGGGAGUUCUUAGGCAAACAGACGGCCACCAUGGCGGCCAUUGCGGCAGUAUUUACUGGCCAGAGAGCUUCCCCGCAAGGCGCACAUGGUGGUGCUUCCCAGGGAUACAACAACAGCACACCCCUCACUCCUGGUCAUAUGCCAGGUAUGGCUCCUGAGCCCUUGACUGGCCCAGUAACACCAUGUCCACUGCCUCCUAUGGCCACUCCCGGUGGCGUAGGCAACUUGGUCGCUGAACCAACCUCUACGGAUGGACCUCGAGAGGACGCCGUGCCAGACUCGCCCGCGCCUUCCACCUCUGACGCCACCUCACGUACCCUUGACACAGGGCCCGACAGAGGAGCAAAAAGGAAGAUUUGGGAAUGA
rnacentral:lncRNA from 1 species